rnacentral:rRNA from 1 species
GAGAAAAGAAACUAACUAGGAUUCCCUUAGUAACGGCGAGUGAACCGGGAUGAGCUCAAAUUUUGAAAUCUGGCGUCUUUCAGGCGUCCGAGUUGUAAUCUAUAGAGGCGUUUUCCGCGCCGGACCGCGUCCAAGUCUCUUGGAAUAGAGUAUCAAAGAGGGUGACAAUCCCGUACUUGACGCGACAACCGGUGCUCUGUGAUACGUUCUCAAUGAGUCGAGUUGUUUGGGAAUGCAGCUCUAAAUGGGUGGUAAAUUCCAUCUAAGGCUAAAUAUUGGCGAGAGACCGAUAGCGAACAAGUACCGUGAGGGAAAGAUGAAAAGCACUUUGGAAAGAGAGUUAAACAGCACGUGAAAUUGUUAAAAGGGAAACGAUUGAAGUCAGUCGUGUGGGAAGUAUUCAGCCGUCUCUGGCGGUGUAUUUGCUUCUCACGGGUCAACAUCAGUUUGAUCCGGUAGAAAAAGGCGGGAAGAAGGUGGCACCCUCGGGUGUGUUAUAGCUUCCUGUCAUAUGUGCCGGACCAGACUGAGGAACGCAGCUAGCAGCAAUGCCGGGGUUCGCCCACGUACAAGCUUAGGAUGUUGACAUAAUGGCUUUAAACGACCCGUCU